CAAACUCAUUUCAGUCGUCUCCAGAACGCAAGCUGUAUCAUUGAAAGCUGAUAGCAGAGAGCUUCAACCAGAAAACUGAAACUCAAUUGAGACGACUCAAACGAAUCGAAGCCUUGUACAAAUCAUGGAAAAAACAUCACGCCAGUUGACUGGAAAUCCAAAUCUGAACAUACGAAUAACGUCUUCUGAAAAAUCUAAAAUCACAUAUUUACUGAUUUAAAUAUUUACGGAAGACCACACUCAAACGGUGACUAAUUGUUGCUGCACAACAUCAGACUUUUAUUGUUAAAUUCUGUAACAUUUCCAUUUAAUAUUGGGAGAUUUUUGAAAAUGUGCUCCAUUAAACGUUAAUUGCUUUUGCUUUGAC